rnacentral:rRNA from 1 species
UGGGGAAUUUUCUGCAAUGGGCGAAAGCCUGACAGAGCAAUACCGCGUGAGGGAAUCAGAAAGCCCAAAGGGUUGUAAACCUCUUUUGUUAAGGAAGAAGUUCUGACGUUACUUAACGAAUAAGCAUCGGCUAACUCCGUGCCAGCAGCCGCGGUAAUACGGAGGAUGCAAGUGUUAUCCGGAAUCACUGGGCGUAAAGCGUCUGUAGGUGGUUUACUAAGUCUAUUAUUAAAUCUUGAAGCUCAACUUCAAAACUGUACUAGAAACUAGUAAACUUGAGGAUAGUAGGGGUAAAGGGAAUUUCCAGUGGAGCGGUGAAAUGCGUAGAGAUUGGAAGGACCACCGAAGGCGAAGGCACUUUACUGGGCUAUUUCUGACACUAAGAGACGAAAGCUAGGGGAGCAAAUGGGAUUAGAUACCCCCGUAGUCC